rnacentral:tRNA from 1 species
AGUUCCAAAAUUCUAAAACGACUAACUUUUAAUCAGUAGGUCCAGGGUUCGAAUCCCUGCGCGCUCACCA